rnacentral:piRNA from 1 species
UAAUGAAUUUGGGUGUGUUUUUCCUUCC